GUAACCUUUGCAGACAUGAUGUGAUUGACAAAAAAGAUGUGAUCAGCAAAUUACCCGAUAGCCUUCUUCAUCACAUUCUUUCUUUUCUCUCAACCAUAGAUGCUAUUCGAACCUCCGUAUUAGCAAGAAGAACUUUUAAGUGGAAUCUGUCAUGUCAAGUCUCUCGUACUCUCAAAAGAUACUCUUGAGAUUCUUUCACGCGCAGAAAAUCUCCUUAUGCGCCUUCCUACAUUCCAUAAUUUGAUUCAUUUUAGUGUGGAUCAAGGAAUGUAUGACUUCACUGGCGGAGCUCUGAUGGACAUUCUUGAAAAGUCUCCUAAUCUGGAAGUUCUUGACAUUGUUGAUGUAUAUCCUGUGUUAUUAUGAAUUUGAUAUGUUUCUAGGCUAAAAAUAGUGUAAUUUCCGUUCAUGAACUUGUUUGUUGGCUCUAUACUUAGGGAUUCGACCCUGCUUUCUGCUUGGAUGGGGAAGCUUGGACGUUGAGCACAGUGCCUCAUUGUUUAAAGUCUAGUCUGAAACUGGUUAGCAUUUGGAAUUUUUUUGGUGAGGUGGCUGAGAUGCAAUUGCUUAGCUUUCUCUUAAAACAUGCGACCAAAUUGAGUAGAAUCAAGAUGUUCUGUGUGGAGUGCUUGUCAGUAGAUUUAAACAAGCAAGCAGAUAUCAGCAAUCAAUUGCAAGUAAUGCGUAAAGGCUUAGCCAGCUGUGCAAUUGAGUUCCGGUGAAUCUGAGCAGAAAUUCUGAAUCCAGGAGUCCUCUUUUUUUUUUUUUUUUUUUAAUUGGGUGAUUUCAGUGUUUCGGAAUUGACUCAAAUCACUAAAGGGCCUUGAGUCUUGGGCUGUGCUUUUUAUACGUACUUUCAUUGGGCUUGAUCUGUUGUGAUAUGAUGAUUAUGAUCAAAUUUGAAAAUGUGUACACA